UACAGCAAUGGAAGCAGAUGCUUUGGUCAA
rnacentral:piRNA from 1 species